UUACUUCUACUUCGCAAGAAGUAGUUGUAACUGAGUGGCGAACGGGUGAGUAACACGUGGGUGACCUGCCUUCGAGUGGGGGAUAACAUCCCGAAAGGGGUGCUAAUACCGCAUGACAUCCUGCCUUUGAAGAGGCGGUGAUUAAAGCUGGGGAUCGCAAGACCUGGCGCUUGAAGAGGGGCCCGCGUCCGAUUAGCUAGUUGGUGGGGUAACGGCCUACCAAGGCGACGAUCGGUAGCCGGCCUGAGAGGGCGGACGGCCACACUGGGACUGAGACACGGCCCAGACUCCUACGGGAGGCAGCAGUGGGGAAUUGUUCGCAAUGGGCGAAAGCCUGACGACGCAACGCCGCGUGGAGGACGAAGAUUUUCGGA
rnacentral:rRNA from 1 species